GUGCUCACUGUGAAAGCGCACAUAAUAAAACUUGAAUGAUGCAGAGAUUAGUAUGUACUCUGUGCAAAAUCGAUAUGUACAUGUGUUACAUAUUCCACAUUUAC
rnacentral:snRNA from 1 species